CACGUAGGGGACGAGCGUUGUCCGGAUUCAUUGGGCGUAAAGAGCGUGUAGGCGGUUCGGUAAGUCGGCUGUGAAAGUCCAGGGCUCAACCCUGGGAUGCCGGUCGAUACCGCCGGACUAGAGUUCGGAAGAGGCGAGUGGAAUUCCCGGUGUAGCGGUGAAAUGCGCAGAUAUCGGGAGGAACACCUAUGGCGAAGGCAGCUCGCUGGGACGUUACUGACGCUGAGACGCGAAAGCGUGGGGAGCAAACAGG
rnacentral:rRNA from 1 species